CAGUCGAGCGGUAACAGAUCCAGCUUGCUGGAUGCUGACGAGCGGCGGACGGGUGAGUAAUGCAUAGGAAUCUGCCCGAUAGUGGGGGAUAACCUGGGGAAACCCAGGCUAAUACCGCAUACGUCCUACGGGAGAAAGGGGGCUCCGGCUCCCGCUAUGGGAUGAGCCUAUGUCGGAUUAGCUAGUUGGUGAGGUAACGGCUCACCAAGGCCACGAUCCGUAGCUGGUCUGAGAGGAUGAUCAGCCACAUCGGGACUGAGACACGGCCCGAACUCCUACGGGAGGCAGCAGUGGGGAAUAUUGGACAAUGGGGGCAACCCUGAUCCAGCCAUGCCGCGUGUGUGAAGAAGGCCCUCGGGUUGUAAAGCACUUUCAGCGAGGAAGAACGCCUAGCGGUUAAUACCCGCUAGGAAAGACAUCACUCGCAGAAGAAGCACCGGCUAACUCCGUGCCAGCAGCCGCGGUAAUACGGAGGGUGCAAGCGUUAAUCGGAAUUACUGGGCGUAAAGCGCGCGUAGGUGGCUUGAUAAGCCGGUUGUGAAAGCCCCGGGCUCAACCUGGGAACGGCAUCCGGAACUGUCAAGCUAGAGUGCAGGAGAGGAAGGUAGAAUUCCCGGUGUAGCGGUGAAAUGCGUAGAGAUCGGGAGGAAUACCAGUGGCGAAGGCGGCCUUCUGGACUGACACUGACACUGAGGUGCGAAAGCGUGGGUAGCAAACAGGAUUAGAUACCCUGGUAGUCCACGCCGUAAACGAUGUCGACCAGCCGUUGGGUGCCUAGCGCACUUUGUGGCGAAGUUAACGCGAUAAGUCGACCGCCUGGGGAGUACGGCCGCAAGGUUAAAACUCAAAUGAAUUGACG
rnacentral:rRNA from 1 species